UCCACGCGUGGUUUUUUGCAACUGUUCGUUUUCUACUAUUGAUUGUUUAUAUACCUAUAUAUAAGUAUAUAUAGGUACAUCGGUACUCUUUUAAAUCAAUAUUAACCUCAAAAUAUUAUCCGUGUAAUUUAUCAUUUCCUAUAUUAAUAUUUUAAUGGGUCGUAUAGUUCUUUCAAUUUCCACAAACUUAUAUCCACAGUCCGUAUAACUAUUUGACCCGUUAAACUCGAUCGCCAGAAGGACCCGAAUUAUAGUUACCUAUAUAUAGUUGCUCGUAUUGCUGCUGCUAUUUUCACAAACACAACUAUUUACUGCGACAGGAUGCGAUAAAAACG